GCCAGGCAUGGUGGCGCACGCCUGUAAUCCCAGCUACUCGGGAGGCUGAGACAGGAGAACAGCUUGAACCCAGGAGGUGGGGGUUGCAGUGAGCCGAGAUUGCGCCACUGCACUCCAGCCUGGGUGACAAAGUGAGACUCCGUCUCUC
ensembl:misc_RNA Metazoa_SRP Metazoan signal recognition particle RNA